rnacentral:rRNA from 1 species
UACAGAGGGUGCAAGCGUUAAUCGGAAUUACUGGGCGUAAAGCGCGCGUAGGUGGUUCAGUAAGUUGGAAGUGAAAUCCCCGGGCUCAACCUGGGAACUGCUUUCAAAACUGCUGAGCUAGAGUACGGUAGAGGGUGGCGGAAUUUCCUGUGUAGCGGUGAAAUGCGUAGAUAUAGGAAGGAACACCAGUGGCGAAGGCGACCACCUGGACUGAUACUGACACUGAGGUGCGAAAGCGUGGGGAGCAAACAGG